GGCCGACUAGCUCAGUUGGUUAGAGCGUCGUGCUAAUAUACAGUAUAUGUGCAGCUGUGUUACGCGAAGGUCUUGGGUUCGAUCCCCACGUUGGCCA